rnacentral:lncRNA from 1 species
CCUUCUGUUCUGGUAGACACCUUUUUACCUGUGGAAUUGAAAAGUUCACUUUUUUUCAUUUAAACUAUUAAAAAAAAGUAUUUAUAGAGACAAAAUAUGAUUGUAACAUUCAUAUCAUAUGUAAAAGUAUAAGAAUAAAGGUGAACACUUGAGGGUGGGGCAUUUCAGUAUUUUUUUUGGUAGGGAAGCCGUCGAGACAUCAUUUACCUCAUCAUUUUCAUAUAUUUUGUGUAUCAAAAAUAUAUAUAUAUAUAUAUUCAUGAACGCUUUAAUAUCUAACAGAUAAAUGAUAUACAUUGGCAUGCCCAUUCUAAGUUAAAGGUCGC